GUGAAUCCUCAAAUUUUUGAACGCAAAUUGCACUCUCUUCGGAGAGUAUGCGUGUUUGAGGGUCAGGCUAAAAAAAAUUGAAGUAGUUGCUGUUUGGCGGUGACAUUAGUGGGAAAUUGGGUUAUGUUAAACGUUUUGUGUUUAAGCGGCUUAAAAUUUUAUUUAGGAUUUUAGGAACGUUUUUAAGAUUUAUUUACAAGUUUAAGGUAUCGAAAUUCAUUAGACGUGGCUGUUGCAUCGGAUGU
rnacentral:misc_RNA from 1 species